UACGGAAGGGGCUAGCGUUGUUCGGAAUCACUGGGCGUAAAGCGCGUGUAGGCGGCUUGGUAAGUCGGGUGUGAAAGCCCGGAGCUCAACUCCGGAACUGCAUUCGAAACUACCUCGCUCGAGUCCCGGAGAGGGUGGUGGAAUUCCCGGUGUAGAGGUGAAAUUCGUAGAUAUCGGGAGGAACACCAGUGGCGAAGGCGGCCACCUGGACGGUGACUGACGCUGAGACGCGAAAGCGUGGGGAGCAAACAGG
rnacentral:rRNA from 1 species